rnacentral:rRNA from 1 species
UGGGGAAUAUUGGACAAUGGGCGAAAGCCUGAUCCAGCAAUGCCGCGUGAGUGAUGAAGGCCUUAGGGUUGUAAAGCUCUUUUACCCGGGAUGAUAAUGACAGUACCGGGAGAAUAAGCCCCGGCUAACUCCGUGCCAGCAGCCGCGGUAAUACGGAGGGGGCUAGCGUUGUUCGGAAUUACUGGGCGUAAAGCGCACGUAGGCGGCUUUGUAAGUUAGAGGUGAAAGCCAGGGGCUCAACUCCGGAAUUGCCUUUAAGACUGCAUCGCUAGAAUUGUGGAGAGGUAAGUGGAAUUCCGAGUGUAGAGGUGAAAUUCGUAGAUAUUCGGAAGAACACCAGUGGCGAAGGCGACUUACUGGACACAUAUUGACGCUGAGGUGCGAAAGCGUGGGGAGCAAACA